GCGCUCAGCCAGCAAAAGAAUACCUUCUUCCAGAGAGGAAAUAUCAACCGACAGAUCUUCCACAAGGAGCAAAUAAGAAUUCAACGAUUCCUUCAUAUCUCUAUUUUCCCCUUCCAUUAUACCGAACUUCUCAUUCAACUCGACCACAGUUGCAUUACUGGCAGUUAUCUCCUCAUAAAAUCUCUCCCUUUCUACCAUGGAACUUAUUUCAAGGCUCUCGCAUUCAACUAGAAGCUCAAAUACUUUUUCUUCAAACAAUACUGCGCUGACUGUGGUGAUUUGAAUGUCUUCAAAUAAUUUUGCAAUUUCCGCUUCGCAGCAGUUCACCUCGUUAACUUCUAUCUGCAGUUCAAAAGAAAGUUCU
rnacentral:misc_RNA from 1 species